AGAAGAAAGACCACUACAACACCACUGCUUCAUUCAAAGAAACCUGCAUCAGCGCCCUAGUGGACAUGAGUAGCAAACUAGAAAAGACUACACUAGAGACAAACUAUACUACAAAGAAGUCUUAAAAGAAUAUGGAAUUGCCACAGAGGGGCAGACAUCUUGAACUGACGAGGAAAAGGUCUAAGAGUGAUGCUUCUGAUCAUCAAUGUGCUCGUCAAAAGCCAGAUGAAAAAGUAGUUAAUGAUGGUAUAUAUGCUUUGCACGAACUCACCCUAAAUUGAAGAGGACCUCUAUAGCCAGUUCAAAAGAACUCGCUGACCUAAGAGACGAAACUUCAUUAAUACGAAGUGGAGAAGACGGAAUGCUAUUAGGGACUGGUCCAUGGUCAAGACU